UUCACUGGACAUGAACUACUUAAAUUUCAAUAAAAACUGGAACAGGGGGGAUGUUCUAAAACUACUGACCGGUACUAUACAUGUACACACAAUAGAGAGUAUCAGUCACAUACUACUGGUGGUGCAUGUAACACAGAUUGAAAACCUCUGACCUAAAGGAAUAACAACAUAUGCUUUCCAGAAUCACGGUGACUAACAGGCUUUUAUUUCAGGUCUUGAUGACAUCCUGCAGGUCGUCUCUGCUGCUGUGAACAUAGAAGAAGAAUCUCCCGUCGCUGUGUCAAGAUCCCAAGUGGAGGCAGGCAUCGAUACAGGGGCACUAGGAAAGGAGUUCCUCGCAGUUCUGUUGUUGUUCAUGCCAUACUUCGGCUGCUGAUCUAAUGAGCCAAACAUCUGCCAUCCACUCCUGCGGUCGAGGUGAAGGCUGAUGCUGACUGUUUUAGCGGUGUGCCAUCCCGAGUUCAGUGAGAAAGGCUGGUGGAAGUGGGCAUUAUGAACCGUCUACAGGACUUCUUGCAGGUGCUGGAAGUGAACUUCCCAGAGGAGGGUGACGACCCUGAGGCCUGUACCCAUGGUAUCUUCUCAUUGGCUGGCUUCACUAACCCCAACAACUGUGAUCACACUAAGCUUUUAUAUGAUGGUGGUUAUCAUCUUGAUGUCUCUGGCUCUCUGACGGGACGCUGCAGCAUCCUGAGCUCACACAGCUGCUUCAGGGAGAAGAGAUGAAGAUUAUCCAAGAUGUUGAGGAUCCAUCUUCCUCCAGACUGUGUGAUGCGUCACAAUAAACGUGUGUCCAAACGUCCCUCCAUAGAUGUUUGAUUCAUACAAAAGUUCUCCAUGGGUCAAUCAAACCAUCAAAUUAUAGAGAAAAAAUAAAUUAAUAUAGGUCUAGCCCAUAUCACGAUAGUAAUGAUUUAGAAAAAUAUAUACAAGACACUUUUAUAUUGUUUUGACGACAUGUACCGUCACUGCCCAGCCUAAAUAAAUUGUCAAAAUGAAGGGUACACCAACAAUAAUGAGCUAAUUAGGUAAUUAUUAUUAUUGCAAAAGGAAUACCUCACCUCUGGUUGUGCACGCUCUUUCCACUUAUAAAGCUUCCACAUCCGGUGCCUCUCACAACAUCAUCCAGGCGAUGACGACAUUUUGAACUCCCAGGUCACCGCUUAACUCUGCAACACAUCAGAUUUUUAAAUUAGUAUCCAUACAAGAGAAUCCACAGAAAACUUUAUGCAAACACUGGAUCAUUCCCUCACACGGGAGGUUCAUGAAAACUAAAUGCAGCAUUGAAUAAAUCUUGACUAUUCCAUGUCUAAUAAAUGGCUGACAAAA